rnacentral:tRNA from 1 species
AGAAUUUAGUUAAACUAAUAACAUUGAAUUGUCAAAUCAAAAUUAUAUUAUUAAUUCUUUA